rnacentral:rRNA from 1 species
AAAAGUUAUAGUGUAAACUAUGGUGAAGAUAUCGGAAGCGAGAAUACUUGCAUGAGUAGCAUAAAACAACGAUAAACGUUGUGGCCGUAAGUCUAAGGUUUCCGAUCUAAAGUAAAGCUGGGUUGGCAAAAGCAUUUGCUAAAAAAAAAACGGUCCCUAAGCUGUCAAGCCAAAGCUUGCGGUAAUGGGUAAGAUUACACUGUGAGAAGUAACUGACGAAAAAUUCACUUUAUUUUUAUAUAAAUAUAAAAGUAAAUUAUUUUUUCCAAGAAAAAGGUUCU